rnacentral:rRNA from 1 species
GGGGGAAUAUUGCGCAAUGGGGGAAACCCUGACGCAGCAACGCCGCGUGAUCGAAGAAGGUCUUCGGAUUGUAAAGAUCUUUUAUCAGGGACGAAGAAAGUGACGGUACCUGAUGAAUAAGCUCCGGCUAACUACGUGCCAGCAGCCGCGGUAAUACGUAGGGAGCGAGCGUUAUCCGGAUUUACUGGGUGUAAAGGGCGAGUAGGCGGGCUGGUAAGUUGGAAGUGAAAUGUCGGGGCUUAACCCCGGAACUGCUUUCAAAACUGCUGGUCUUGAGUGAUGGAGAGGCAGGCGGAAUUCCUAGUGUAGCGGUGAAAUGCGUAGAUAUUAGGAGGAACACCAGUGGCGAAGGCGGCCUGCUGGACAUUAACUGACGCUGAGGAGCGAAAGCGUGGGGAGCAAACAGGAUUAGAUACCCUGGUAGU